UGAGCCCCAAUUUUCUUUUCUCAUUUCCCUUCUCAAUACCCCAAAACCGAAAUCCCCGUUUCUCAGCAGAGGUGCAUUUGGGUUUCCCGAAUCCUAAUUUAUCUCAUUUCCCCAAAUCCCUAAAACUCAUUUCCCCCCAAAUUACUCUGCUGCCUCAUGCACGCCGCUGGAUGCUCACCCCGCCUGUGAAGGUUCUCUCCCCUUCAUCUCUCUAAGAUCUUGAGAAGGUCGCUCGCCCAUUACAGCUUCAAGAAGCAGUGGUUGUUUGAGCCAUUUUUAGUCACCGGCCUAAUCUCUACUCCUCAAUCUGAUCCCUAAAAAUGUCGUUACCAAACUCAUUGGACUCUCAUCUUGGACCGCUCACCGUCUCAACUCGUCCAGCUUAACAGGCUUUCCGAUUCCGAUUUAGGAAUCGUUGAGCUAACUUUGAACAGACCUGAGAGGAGAAAUGCCAUUGGGAGGGAUUUUCUAAUAGGGGUUAUAGAGUCUCCUGAAGCUGUCAGUAAGAAUUCCUCAACUAAUGUGGUUUUGAUUCGUAAUUUGGUUCCGAAGGUGCUUUGUGCUGGUAAUGAUUUGAAGAAGCCUUGGAAGGGUAGACCGCUCUCAAAUACACAGUAUAUUUACUGUUUUCCAGGUAGUACCGUCUAUAAUAAAUGGUGGCAUAACAACUUUGUACUUUGUUUUAUGGGGAAAAGGUCUUAAAUCUUCUGGACCUCUUAGGUAGUUUCAUCUCGAACAAAUUUUCAUGCUACCAUUUCAUGUGGCUGUUCUUAUCAGCUAGUUAAAAUACCAUGCCUUCUGUUUCGAUACUAGAAGUCUCUUUUUGCAUCUCUAUUUUAUUUUUGCAUUUCACUCUCAUUCUCUCUAUUUUAGUCUCUUUCCCAUAUUCCUUUUCCUUCUUUAUAACAUAAUUUUCCAAUAGCUGUAUAUAUUUGUGAUUUCAUGUUCUGGAUUUAGAGAAAGUUGGAAGUUUUACCAUAGUUUUUCUUUUAUUUGCAAAUCUGGUGUUCUUAUAUUUUCUUAGUCGUUCCAAGUUUUUGGUUUUGUUGCUUCUUUUUAAUCAGUAAUAUAUAUUUUGAUUUGGUGUUUGAAAUAUAUUUGAUGACCUUAUAUAUGUAAUCAAUAAGGAAUGGUCUAAAAUUUAAACACUAUAUAUAUAUAUCCAUAAUGCGUGUGUAUAUAUAUUCUACUAGAAACCCAAUUUUUUUUAGACUCAAGGACUUUCACCUCUUUCCCUAAUACGAUCUUAACCCUAACAUUCUCUCUCGUUCUCAUUAAGCAACGGAAGGAGUAACAAGCUUAUUCUUCUUCUCAAGGACGAAGGGAAACAAGCUUCACUUUUUCCAUGUCUCUGUUAUUGAAAGUUAAUUUCUUGCCUCUUGCGAUACACUGGACGACUGGAAUAGGUCUAUUGUUGUAUUGGUAACUCCUAUUAAACUUACUGAUAGGUAAUUCUUAGUAUUGUUCUGUUUUGAUAAAUUUUCCUUGCAUAUAUUACUCCAUUUCGGUAUUUCACUCCAACUGUCUAACUUAUUUAACUGAGUUACUUGGUGGAUCAAUUGCAUUUUCUAUUGGAUCAAAUAGAAGACUAGUGAGUGGUGGUUCUUUCUAUCUAUUUCUCUGAAAACCCAACAAUGAGUGGCCAUCUUCUUUUAUAUAUUUCUUAACUUCUUUUUUUCAAUUUAUUUUUUCUAUAUUAAUGUUUUUUUUUGUUUCUUUUCAAAUGUACAUGAUUCUCUUUCUCUUAGGUAUGAUUUUUCUUAAUUUUCAUAAGAAAGCAUUAUUUUUCUUUAUAUAUAUGUAAUUUAAUUUUUUUCUUAUUCAUAUAUGGAUUUGGAAAAUAUUAUGAUUGAGCUUUUUCUUUUUUUUUUCUUUUUUUAAAUAUAAUCAAUGAAAUUGUUGUUCUGAAUCAGUUCUAAGUUCUAACAUGAUCUUUGUCAACCUCUUAAAUUUAUUGAGCAGUGCAUCGUACACAAAUUUUUAAAGGGAUUCAUUAUAUUGAGUUUUUAUUUUCAGUUCUACCUGAUUUGGUAGUGAGUGAAGAUGGUUUUUUCUAUACGCCUUCUGCUAUCGGGCCCCCUUCCGAGUCCAAGCAUUUGUAUUGAAAGGUUACAACUCUCAUGCCUUAUGGGUGUUUAUCGUUUACUCUAUUUCUUAUAUCAAAUCUGCUAAUCUUUUUAUACACACUGAUUUUUUUAUAGUCAUUGGGCCAUGUAUCACUAUAAUAUAUUGUGUAUAUAUAAAUAAAUUAGCAAGGUGAUUCUAUCCUCUCAGUUCUCUGUUCACACCUUUCUUUCCUCACUUAUUUUGUUCUUACUUUGAUACAAGUUUAGGUUCAUAUUUUAAAUUAUUUGAAUAUGGCAGUUUUAAUUAAUAAUAGUCCUUUAGAUUUUCCUUGUUUGUAACGUUAUAUAUGGAUGGUUACUUAUGGAAGUAUACUUGACUUUGAUUUUAUCAUUUGACUAUUAAGACUAUGGAAGUUUUAUUGCAAGCAUCAUGGAAAUAUGGUUGUAGCUUAUUUUUCAACAUUUUACUGCAACAUGGGAUUUGUUGUGUGUCAUCCACAAUGAUGUCUCCUAGUUAAGGUGAGUAAUGAUUUUAAUUCUUAAUCUAUAUUGGUUUUAUCUUAAUUGUCAGCAAAGCUUUGUGAAGGAUCAUUUGGUUUCACCUUAUUUUUUAUUUAUUUAUUUAUUUUUCUUUAACUUUAAUGCAGAAAAUGUGUUCGAGAAAAUACCCCAUAAAAUGACAAUUGUGUUCAUAGUUGUUUUGCAUAGUGGGUUUCACGAUAAUUUAUUUUGAUGUUUUUGUCCUUUGUCUUAUUGAUUAUAGGCUACAACUUUAGCAUAUUAUUUGGGCUGUGUUCAUUUUUGUGUUUGUGUGAGUUUUUGGAUUUUUCAUUAACUAUUAUGCAUAUUUAUUUAUUUUACAGCAAUUUUAUAGUCUAAUUAUUGAUUAUGAGCUCUCUUUUUGUUGUUUGGUUUGAUAGUACUGAUACUUUACAAGGAUGAUUGGCCUAGCUGCUGAUUAUUGUCCAAGAUUCAUUCUUUAAUUAAGACAGAAAGUAUGCUUUUUAGUUUGGAAAAUUACAAGAGAUGAACAUCCAUACUCUAAUUUUAGUCUUACAAGAGAUGUGUUAUAUGUUAUUUUCAUUAUAAAUUCUAUCUUAUGUUGUUUAUCCUUGUAUAAUGCAGAUGCUAAAGAAGCUAAGCAAACAAUUACGUGGUGAGGAUUGGAAUUGGAACAACUUAAACACAUUAUGUUGGGCAAUAGGGUCUAUAUUUGGGUUUGAUUAUGACUGUGUUGAUUCUUUAUUGCUUCUCCAUAGUUAUCUUUAGUUGAUAUUUAUGAAAUGGGUUAUCUUUAUUGAUUAUAAUUACUUGGGUUAUAUGUCAACCUUUAGAAGACCUUGAUUGGAU